CGCACAUUGCGCCCAUUAGUAUUCUAGUGGGCAUGCCUGUUCGAGCGUCAUUUCAACCCUUAAGCCUAGCUUAGUGUUGGGAAUCUACUGUUGGCGGUGGCUACCCUGUAGCCGCCCUGUAGUUCCUUAAAGUCAGCGGCGGAUUUACAGUGUCCUCUGAGCGUAGUAAUUAUUUUCUCGCUUCUGUCAGGUGCUGUGACUCCUGCCGUUAAACACCCAAAUUUUCAAUGGUUGACCUCGGAUCAGGUAGGAAUACCCGCUGAACUUAA
rnacentral:misc_RNA from 1 species